rnacentral:rRNA from 1 species
UUGGAGGGCAAGUCUGGUGCCAGCAGCCGCGGUAAUUCCAGCUCCAAUAGCGUAUAUUAAAGUUGUUGCAGUUAAAAAGCUCGUAGUUGAAUUUCGGGAUCAGUAUGUUGGUCGUGCUUCGGUACGUACUGUCAUUACUGGUUUCUCCCUUCUGAAGAACCUUGAUGUCAUUAAUUUGGUGUCUUGGGGAAUCAGGACUGUUACUUUGAAAAAAUUAGAGUGUUUAAAGCAAGCAUACGCUUGAAUACAUUAGCAUGGAAUAAUGAAAUAGGACGUUUGAUUCUAUUUUGUUGGUUUCUAGGAUCGACGUAAUGAUUAAUAGGGAUAGUUGGGGGCAUUAGUAUUCAAUUGUCAGAGGUGAAAUUCUUGGAUUUAUUGAAGACUAACUACUGCGAAAGCAUUUGCCAAGGAUGUUUUCAUUAAUCAAGAACGAAAGUUAGGGGAUCGAAGACGAUCAGAUACCGUCGUAGUCUUAACCAUAAACUAUGCCGACUAGGGAUCGGAUGAUGUUAUUUUUAAUGACUCAUUCGGCGCCUUACGGGAAACCAAAGUGUUUGGGUUC